rnacentral:rRNA from 1 species
CCUACGGGCGGCAGCAGUGAGGAAUAUUGGUCAAUGGGCGUAAGCCUGAACCAGCCAAGUCGCGUGAGGGAUGAAGGUCUUCGGAUUGUAAAGUUCUGUGAUGGGGGAUGAACACAAUGACGGUACCCCAAUAGCAAGCCACGGCUAACUACGUGCCAGCAGCCGCGGUAAUACGUAGGUGGCAAGCGUUAUCCGGAAUGACUGGGCGUAAAGGGUGCGUAGGUGGUUUAGUAAGUUGGCGGUGUAAUUCCGGGGCUCAACCUCGGCGCUACCGCCAAAACUAUUAGACUAGAGUGCAGGAGGGGUAAGUGGAAUUCCUAGUGUAGCGGUGGAAUGCGUAGAUAUUAGGAGGAACAUCAGGGGCGAAGGCGACUUACUGGACUGUAACUGACACUGAGGCACGAAAGCGUGGGGAGCAAACAGGAUUAGAUACCCUUGUAGUC